UGCGUAGGCGGAAUGAUAAGUUAGUGGUGAAAGCCCCCGGCUCAACCGGGGAACUGCCAUUAAUACUGUCAUUCUUGAGUAUAGUUGAAGUGGGCGGAAUGUAUCAUGUAGCGGUGAAAUGCUUAGAUAUGAUACAGAACACCGAUAGCGUAGGCAGCUUGCUAAACUAUAACUGACGCUCAGGCACGAAAGCGUGGGGAGCAAACAGGAUUAGAUACCCUGGUAGUCC
rnacentral:rRNA from 1 species